AUUGAACGCUGGCGGCGUGCCUAACACAUGCAAGUCGAGCGGUAACAGGUGUAGCAAUACAUGCUGACGAGCGGCGGACGGGUGAGCAAUAUUUGGGAAUCUGCCUAUUAGUGGGGGAUAACCCGGGGAAACUCGGGCUAAUACCGCAUACGCUCUACGGAGGAAAGCCGGGGACCGCAAGGCCUGGCGCUAGUAGAUGAGCCCAAAUCGGAUUAGCUAGUUGGUGAGGAACGGCUCACCAAGGCGACGAUCCGUAGCUGGUUUGAGAGAACGACCAGCCACACCGGAACUGAGACACGGUCCGGACUCCUACGGGAGGCAGCAGUGGGGAAUCUUGCGCAAUGGUCUAACGACUGACGCAGCGACGCCGCGUGUGGGAGGACGCCUUUCGGGU
rnacentral:rRNA from 1 species